rnacentral:rRNA from 1 species
UACGUAGGUGACCAGCGUUGUCCGGAUUUACUGGGCGUAAAGAGCGCGCAGGCGGUCGUUCAAGUCGAGUGUGAAAGCCCCCGGCUCAACUGGGGAGGGUCAUUCGAUACUGAUCGACUUUGAAGGCAGGAGAGGGAAGUGGAAUUCCCGGUGUAGUGGUGAGAUGCGUAGAUAUCGGGAGGAACACCAGUGGCGAAGGCGACUUCCUGGCCUGUUCUUGACGCUGAGGCGCGAAAGCUAGGGGAGCAAACGGG